rnacentral:rRNA from 1 species
AUUGAACGCUGGCGGCAUGCUUUACACAUGCAAGUCGAACGGUAACAGGCCUUCGGGUGCUGACGAGUGGCGAACGGGUGAGUAAUGCAUCGGAACGUACCCAGAGGUGGGGGAGAACGCAGCGAAAGCUGUGCUAAUACCGCAUGUGAUCUGAGGAUGAAAGCGGGGGACCGAGCAGCAAUGUUUGGCCUCGCGCCUUUGGAGCGGCCGAUGUCGGAUUAGCUAGUUGGUGGGGUAAAGGCCUACCAAGGCGACGAUCCGUAGCUGGUCUGAGAGGACGACCAGCCACACUGGGACUGAGACACGGCCCAGAGUCCUACGGGAGGCAGCAGUGGGGAAUUUUGGACGAUGGGCGAAAGCCUGAUCCAGCAAUGCCGCGUGCGGGAAGAAGGCCUUCGGGUUGUAAACCGCUUUUGGCAGGAACGAAACGGUGUCCGCUAAUACCGGGCGCUAAUGACGGUACCUGCAGAAUAAGCACCGGCGAACUACGUG